rnacentral:rRNA from 1 species
ACUCCUACGGGAGGCAGCAGUAGGGAAUCUUCCACAAUGGGCGCAAGCCUGAUGGAGCAACACCGCGUGAGUGAAGAAGGGUUUCGGCUCGUAAAGCUCUGUUGUUAAAGAAGAACACGUAUGAGAGUAACUGUUCAUACGUUGACGGUAUUUAACCAGAAAGUCACGGCUAACUACGUGCCAGCAGCCGCGGUAAUACGUAGGUGGCAAGCGUUAUCCGGAUUUAUUGGGCGUAAAGAGAGUGCAGGCGGUUUUCUAAGUCUGAUGUGAAAGCCUUCGGCUUAACCGGAGAAGUGCAUCGGAAACUGGAUAACUUGAGUGCAGAAGAGGGUAGUGGAACUCCAUGUGUAGCGGUGGAAUGCGUAGAUAUAUGGAAGAACACCAGUGGCGAAGGCGGCUACCUGGUCUGCAACUGACGCUGAGACUCGAAAGCAUGGGUAGCGAACAGGAUUAGAUACCCCUGGUAGGCUAGCG